GCUCCAGUGAGGGAAUUAAGGAUGGCAUGUUGUCCUUGUAAUGGGGAUCCAGCAAAGUGGCCACCCAGGAAUUAGCACAAGUUUGAAUGUGGGCAACUCGGCAGUCGUUGCGCAGGCACUUUGGUGACUCUAGAUAACCUCGGGCCGAUCGCACGUCCCAGUGACGGCGACGACGCAUUCGGAUGUCUGCCCUAUCAACUUUCUAUGGUAUUUUCUGCGCCUACCAUGGUGACCACGGGUAACAGGGAAUCAGGGUUCGAUUCUGGAG
rnacentral:rRNA from 1 species